rnacentral:pre_miRNA from 1 species
UCUCAUGAAUGAACAAAGAAAGUAGUUUCUUGAAAAGGAAACUACUCCUGGUGAAGAUGAUGUAAA